rfam:Sus scrofa chromosome 3.
UCCCUGGUGGUUUAGAAGUUAGGAUUUGGUGCUUUCACCACUGUGGCCUAGGUUCAAUCCCUGGUCUAGGAA